rnacentral:rRNA from 1 species
UACCAUUUAGUGGGGAAUAACUGUUGGAAACGACAGCUAAUACCGCAUAAUAUUGCUGGAUAAUUUCCAGUAAUGAAAGGAGCUUUCAAGCUCCGCUGAUUGAUGAGGAUGCGGCGCAUUAGCUAGUUGGUAGGGUAAUGGCCUACCAGGGCAAUGAUGCGUAGCCGAUCUGAGAGGAUGAACGGCCACAUUGGGACUGAGACACGGCCCAAACUUCUACGGAAGGCAGCAGUAGGGAAUUUUUCACAAUGGGCGAAAGCCUGAUGGAGCAAUGCCGCGUGACUGAUGAAGGUCUUCGGAUUGUAAAGGUCUGUUGUAAGGGAAGAAAUGGUAAAACAGGAAAUGGUUUUAUCUAUGACGGUACCUUACC